rnacentral:lncRNA from 1 species
ACAAAUUUCAACAAAAUCAGUUUCCUUGGAAACCACACAUUUUUAAGCAACUACAUACUAAGCUCUAUAAUAUAAACUAUAUAUGUUAGAUUUUUAAGAGAAAAUAUCUUUUAAAAAACAUAAAAUAACCAUAAACAUCCAAGUCAGCAUACCUAUGCCAUACAUCAGCACCAUCAAACUCUCUAUUAGGGAUAUUGUGCAUUCCUGUCAUUUCUGCAUUUCUAUUUUUUUGGGAGAUACAUCCAGGUGGUUGGUACAUCCACUGCUGUGCUCUUGUUAAGGAUUUUUCCAUUUUUCUUCUCUUUCAUGAUCUCCAAAACCUCUGUUAACAUGGCUUGGGACUUCCUCAGGACCAGUCUUAUAUCACUCUCACUCUGUCCCAAGUACUUUUAUGUCCUUAUCAUAGGCUUCUGUAGCCAGUGCUGUAUUAACAUUGCCUUUUUCAAUAUCCGUUUUGUGUUCUUGCAAUCUUUCUCCUACGAUUCUAUUAGUAAUGCCUACAUAUGCAGUGUUUUCCCUGGACUGAACUAUUUCAACUGGU